rnacentral:lncRNA from 1 species
AGGGAUAGAAUUUUAUACUUUCACCAAAAUAAAAAAGUGGCACAUUGGUGUUCUUCAUGAGACUCCAAGGUAGAAGUCCUCCAAUGGUAAUCCACACACAAGUUAGCCAUGGUCCUUCCCAACCGGUGCGUAGCUGCAGCUUUGUCUUCUCAAGAAUGCUGCCGACUUCGAACUUGCAUCAUGAUAGCAUUAAAGCCUAGUUACUUUCGAUCUUACCAUC